GACGAACGCUGGCGGCGUGCUUAACACAUGCAAGUCGAACGGAAAGGCCCUGCUUUUGUGGGGUGCUCGAGUGGCGAACGGGUGAGUAACACGUGAGUAACCUGCCCUUGACUUUGGGAUAACUUCAGGAAACUGGGGCUAAUACCGGAUAGGAGCUCCUGCUGCAUGGUGUGGGUUGGAAAGUUUCGGCGGUUGGGGCUGGACUCGCGGCUUAUCAGCUGGUUGGGGGGGCAGUGGCUUACCAAGCCUUUGACGGGUAGCCGGCCUUAGAGGGUGACCGGCGACAUUGGGACUGAGAGACGGCCCAGAAUCCUACGGGAGGCAGCAGGGAGGAAUAUUGCACAAUGGGCGGAAGCCUGAUGCAGCAACGCCGCGUGCGGGAUGACGGCCUUCGGGGUGUAAACCGCUUUCGCCGGUGACGAAGCGGGAGUGACGGUAAUGGGUAAAGAAGCACCGGCUAACUACGUG
rnacentral:rRNA from 1 species